rnacentral:rRNA from 1 species
UACGUAGGGGGCAAGCGUUGUCCGGAUUUAUUGGGCGUAAAGCGCUCGCAGGUGGUUCGUCGCGUCGUGCGUGAAAGACCCCGGCUCAACUGGGGGGCGUCGUGCGAAACGGGCGGACUGGAGGCCAGUAGGGGGAUGCGGAAUUCCGGGUGUAGUGGUGGAAUGCGUAGAGAUCCGGAGGAACACCAGCGGCGAAGGCGGCAUCCUGGACUGGUCCUGACACUCAUGAGCGAAAGCGUGGGGAGCGAUCCGG